rnacentral:rRNA from 1 species
UACGUAGGGGGCAAGCGUUGUCCGGAUUUAUUGGGCGUAAAGAGCGUGUAGGCGGCUAGGUAGGUCCGUUGUGAAAACUCGAGGCUCAACCUCGAGACGUCGAUGGAAACCAUCUAGCUAGAGUCCGGAAGAGGAGAGUGGAAUUCCUGGUGUAGCGGUGAAAUGCGCAGAUAUCAGGAAGAACACCCGUGGCGAAGGCGGCUCUCUGGGACGUGACUGACGCUGAGACGCGAAAGCGUGGGGAGCAAACAGG